rnacentral:lncRNA from 10 species
GAAGGAUUCUGAUUGGUCCUGCUUCAGUCACAUGCUUGCAUCUUAGUCCAAUCACUGUGGCCUGGAGGAUGGGACACCAUGAUUUGCAAGACUCUGGUCACAUGCCCACACCUGUGGCUUCUGAAGCAGAGCACCAGCAGUGACAGUCCCACCAGAACCGCAUGGAAUAGAAAACUGUGCAUUUCCCUAAGGAAAGGGAAUGCCAGAGAAGGGCAGAAGGGAAAUCAGGAAGACAAAACGGUAAAUUACCUACCACAAAUCCAAUUCAUUGGUAUUUUUCCACUUACACUUAACCAAGCAACGAUUUCUCCUGGUCCCAUAAUGGAAAAGAGGGUUUAUCUAGAUUCAUAUAUACAAGACUGAAGAGUGAAGAGAGACCCAGAGAAUGUUCUAAAAUCUGCCAGUUAGCAUAAUCACACAGAGAAAUCUCUGCUUCCAGAGGAGGAGCCAAGUUCAAGUCAGAGUGUCUUCAUGUUGGAGUGGACCUUUCCUCUAUCUGUCAACAGAAUGGAUAAAUUGUGGAAGAGUAAUAUCAGAAUACUACACAUCAGUAAAAAACAACAAACUUCUGCUACAAACAAUCAACAUCGAUGAAUCUUUCAGGCAAAAGGGCAAAGAAAAGUAUUGGUCUUCCAAAACAAAUAGAGGACGGAGCUGCUGCUGUUGCAUGGUGUCUAGAAACUCAGACAACUUCAUCAUUCCAUAUUUGCAUCCAAGAGAGAGAAAGAAAAACUACAAUCAUUUUCCAUUUACCCAUCAACCCAUCAACCUCCAAAGACAGGGUCUCACUAUGUUGCCCCAGUUGGCCUUGAACUGCUGGACUCAAGGGAUCCUCCUGCCUCAGCAUCCUGAGUAGCUGGGUCUACAGGCAUGAACCACCAGGCCCAGAACCCUGUCUUUUGAAAGCCAUAUGCGAUCUGUCUGCCCUGAAGUGACUACUUCAUCUCCAACCAGCCCUUGGCUGGCAAAGUCAGGAAGACUCCAGUCUUUCCUGAAGACCAGGGGAGAGUUUAUAACUCUAGCAUCAAAGUCAGCAGCUGUUCAUCUAGAAGACAACUUCCCAAAAGUCAAUGUCUUUGCCUGAAGCUUUUCUUCCCAGAUCUCCUAUGGUGAAACAACCAAAGGGAAGAAGAAUGUGGGCAGCCCUCAGUAAGACAGGAGAUGAGCAUCAACAUUGACCCAUUCUUUCUUCCAGUCCUCGAUGCUUACCUUGUACAUUCUUCUUUGUCUUCCGACUCAGUGCCUUUAGGGUAUGGACGUUGCCUGGUCCCACACAAGCCAAGCAUCAAAUGGAUGGCUCAACAAGGAGGCCAAGACCAGCUAAUGUUUAGUGAGCACCCAAAGGGGCCACACUGGAGAGAACAGCACAGCUCCGUCUGAGAAACAGCUGUUCCUUCCUGCCUGAGAGGCAGAGUGAUAGAAGAUAUCACAGAAUGUUGCUGCUUUGUCUUCCACCCUGAACCCUCCACGACCUCCCUGUAGCUUCCUGAUUUUAAGUAGACAUCAAAUGAUUCUUAAUCCUUUCUGGGUCUUGGAACGAUUUGAAAAUUGUCAACAGUACUGGGAUUCCCAGAAUAAUGCACAUAUGUACAUACUCAGAUAUUCCCCAAGCCCUGGAUAUAAUUUUAAGGGAGUUCACAGACCACACUCCCCCACCCAUCUGUGGACCCAGAUUCUGUGGGUUCGAGAUUCAGAAGCCCUGUUUCUAGGCAGGCCCUCUGUUGCUAACGCCCCUCGAGAACAUCACCCUAGAUGAUUAUCCCUUCUUCCUCCACUCCUUCCCACCUUCUCCAACUGCUGGGUUUCAGCACAAAGAUUGCUUGCCAGUUAAACUGGCACCAUGGACCGCACAGUAGUUGUUUCUUGGGUCUAGAGGAAACAGCCAGAUUCCUUUAAGUAAAUCAUGUCUUAGUUAUUGAUUGUCUCCACUUGAAGUUUUUGACAAUCUCUGAUUAAAUCAUAAACCACUGCAUCCUCCAUCUCCUGCUUCAGUCUCUCAAACCAAAUGUCAGUUUCUUUGUAGCCCUUCAAUUCAAAGUUUGCAAAUUCUGGAUCUAGGCUUCAUUCUUUCACUCAUUUAAGCACUAACAUCUAUUGCAUAACUAUUAAAUGCCAGGCACUGUUCUAGGCAUCAGGGACAUAAUAAUGUACAAAACAGCCUUCAUGUUAAUUUACUUAUUCUCUUCCAAAAUGCUAAUUCUAACCAGUGCUGCUUUAAAAACCAUUAUAAUUAUUACAAUAACUGCCUAAGUUAUAAGCUCUAUUCUAAAUAGUUAAUAUGUAUUAUUAUUUUUCAGAAAACUCUAUGAGGUAGGUAUUAUUAUUAUCAUUCUUAUUUUACAGAAGUGAAAAUCAUAAAGGUUAAGUAAUUUGCCCCAGCUAGAGAGGGACAAAGACAAGAUGUAACAUGAGGCAGUUUGACUAAAUUACUUACUGCUAAAUUCAGCAUCCCUGAUUAUGGUUACAAAGCAAGAUUAGAUUCUUUAGCACUGUUGAAAUGUGAACAGAUGUAUUACAAAAAAAAUUGUCUAGCAAUGUGCAUAUAUUUAAGUAGCCCCGAGGGUUAUCUGUGGUUGCCAAGAGGCUCAAAGUCAGCAUGAAUAUAAUCAGGAGGCACUGAUGACUUUGUUACCCAGAGAUGGUUUGGGGAUCCGUCAGGAGUAUCAUGCACAUGGACAGGAAUGUGAGGCAGAGGAUUACUGGAGUUGAGCUGGCAGUCAAGGGACAAACAAGCCAAAAGUUAUAAAAAACAUAUUUUAAAAUUAUAUAUUUUUAAAUAAUCGUGAUGGACAGAAGAAAUUGUAAUCCUGAGGCAAUAACUGAGAAAGUAUUGAGUAGGUAAUAAAAGGCCUGAGUAGGCUGAAAUAAAUGUUUUAAAAUAGCAGUUUCCUGUAUCCAUGGCUUCUAAAGACCUCCGUUAGUGCGAAUAGUAACUCAAAUGAAAUUUAGAACCAAGAAUAAUUGAGAGGGGUAGCUCACAGGCAGGAGUGAAUUGUGUUUUGCAGGAUUUGAAGAUUAUACAAUUUGGAUGACUCUUCUUUAAAAAAUUACUAAUACCAAAUUAGAUCUAGGGCCUUGGGAAGGGCCUGGAAGCAUAAGCUACAUUACCUUUAUAGCAAACCCAGCUUGGACUCAUGGAGAAGGUUGCUAAGAAACACAUACAUUGCUAGAUCAGGACAGUGGUGAUUCUGAUAAGGCUGAAUGCCCAAUUUGGAGAACUUUGUGAUCCAGAGAACAGUGAUUUGAAGGCACUUUGACAUGAAGAUGCAACACAACAGUGGAUGUGGUUUGAAGGAGGGCUUUGGCAAUCCAAACAACUGAAAGAGACAUCCUGUGUAAAUUUUAAUGAGAUAUCAAUUUUUGCCAUUCAAUUUCUCAAUUUUAAAAAAUUAUACUGCUGAGCCAGCCUCCAGCUAACUUAUACAGUACCUAUGUACCAUUUACAAAAAUAUGUCUAUUUAGGCUGACAAGGUGGAAAGACAAACCCCUUCUGGGCAGGUGGGGUGGUAUUGUAUGACAAUCUGGUGGAGCUUUCAGGCAAGCAUUUCUUUCUUUCAAAGCAUUUCUUUCUUUCUCUGUGGUGUCGCACUUGCAGGGAGCAAGGCUGGGCAAGGGAACUGCUGAGUGAAUUUCAGCCCUAAUUCAUCCUCUCAGCUAGGUACCUUUGCACAGUGUCCAAACUGUACAACCAAACAAGGCAGUCCUGUACCUACAGGUGUAGUGAUUUUAACAGCAUGACUAAAGGAACCUAAAAAUGUGCAAUCCUCUGGCCCAGAAAGUCCACUUCUUGGAAUUUAUUCUAAGAAAAUUAUCAGGGAAAAGUACAAGUACAAAUAUUUAUAUAGAACACUUCUAGAAAGUGUUUAUAUAAAGAAAAAUUGAAAACAACUUGUAUGUCCAAUAAUACAACAUGGAUAAAUUAACUUGUGACUCAGCCUAACAAUAGAAUACUGACCAUCCAUUAAAUGAAUUUUAAAUGGCAAGAGGAAAUGUUCAUGACAUAAUUAUAAAUUAAAAACCAAGAAAGGAAACUAUGCAGACUAUAAAAAUAUGUGUGUUUGUUAAAAAAGACCAGAAAACACCAAACUAUUAAUAUUAAAAGUAGUUAUCUAUGGAGCAUUAUCUGUGGAUUACAGGCAAUUUUAUUUUCUUAUUCAUAUUUUUCCAUAUUAAAAUUUUUUUACCUUGUAAAUGUCAUACUCUUACCUUUAUUGCAAACAUAUUUUAAAGUCGUAUCCAGACUUGAAGGGCAGAGACAAAAUUGGAGCAGUGAGUGAAUGUUGCCUUGACCUCAUGGGUGUAGUGUUUGCAUCUCAUUGAUUUCCACUUUGCAUCAAGUCCCAUGCCUCUGGUGGCUCGGGUGUGCCUUGCUUCAUUACCCUCUGUCCCAUAGUGAUGGAUGGUCAUCGGAGGAAUGCGAUAUCUCCCUAUGACUAUCCCUACUUUUCAAAGCCCCAGGAGUAUCUCCAUGUACUUCAGCACUAUGACAAAACAGCUUCGGGUCACUAAAGACACUUAUCCAGAAGCCACCAUAGAAGGUGAAGAUAAUGUGAGUCAGACUAGAGCAGCUAAUUGACUUAGCUAUUGACUUUCAGAUUUAUGGGACACCACUGCUGAGUAAUUAAAUUUACUGAGCUAUUUCAACAAGAUAUUAACUUUAAGUAAUCCUCACUAAACAUAAAUUGAGAGCUGGA